rnacentral:lncRNA from 13 species
GGAGAGAGAGAAAAAACUAUUGAGUUAGAAAAAGCAAGAGAGAAGAGAGAUGGGCAGUUUAACCCACAAUGCAUUGUGGUACGUUGUGACUCGGUUAAAGUGUUGUCACUCAGCCCCAGUGUCACGUCAGCUUUCUACAGACAUACAGAGGAAGUGCCUUCCCUGACAUCUGCUGCAGCUUCGAUCCGCUUCUAGAGCAGAAGCUCCGCCCCCCCCCCCCCCCCCCCCCCCCC